UGCUCUUGUAUCUCUGGUCAGUUCCCACCCCACCACCCACUCUCCCCGUUCCCCUUCCCUUGCUCUCUCUCCUCUCUCUCGGCGACGGCGGCGGAGCACGGCUAAGCGCCGGCAAGGAUGUCCAUGGGAUCUGGUGAGUCGAGGCCCUCCCUCUCUUCUCAUGACUUCUUCCUAUUGUUCCUCCUCAGAAGUUAGGACCAUGAUGUGACGUCGACAUCCGGCAUCGGCGCUUCCGCGGCGAUUCACGACGGCGAGGACGCGGGCGAGCGCGAGAAGUGAGAGAGGACAGCGAGCGCGCUCCCCUACGGUCUCCGGUCUCCCUCCUCCCCGCCGCCUGUCUCCGGUCUCCCUCCUCCCGGCCGCUGGUCGGCGGUCUCCCUCCUUCCGCCGGCAGCUCACCUCCCCGACGGGCAGCUGCUCGUCUGCUCCCCUCCCCGCGCGGGAGACUGGGCGCCUGCUCCUGCCGGUGGCUCCCCCGUUCGCUGGGUGGCUGGUCGCCUGACGCCUGCUCCCACCGGCCGCUCCCCUCCGGCCGAGCAGCUUCUCAUGCGGGUCUGGGUUCCUGGGCUGCUGAAGAAAGGAGAGGGCUUCAAGUACUUUCAGAGGAUGUGGAGAUGAAUGGAUAUGUAGCAGUCUAGCAGCUAUGUGCAUUGCGUUCUAAGGGAUUAUAGGAAGUAGUAAUUACUAAACUUCAAUAUAUUUUCUACAUGUUAGUUGCAUGAACUAUAGAAUUGUAACUUGGGUCUGCGUUAUAUUGCAAGGCCUUUAGAAUGUACCUUACGAUUUAUUGACCAUUAAACAAUUUAUGAACAACUUGAAUGCUGAUUAUAUGUAUGACACUUGAGAUUUGUGGAUUCUAGCUGGUCCGUGUAUAUA